GGAACUGCUGCGAGGAUUCUCCUGUACAGAAGGUGAUGCUGCAAUCCUCCAAAACAACACGAAGAAGAUGAAGAAAAAGAAGAUUUCGAAGCAGAAAGAAACAUCCCAGACGGCUGGAUGUGGUCUUAAAACCUGACCAAAAGCUACGCAGAGCAGGCCGGAGAGAACUCGAGGAGGACGGAGCUUGAUUUUACGUAUAAAAGACGUAAAGCACUUUACCAUGGACUCAAACGACAGUGACCACAUGUCCUUGCACUGUUUCAACCUUCAGGACAUAAAACGGAUUGUUGUUAAAGAGGAGCAGCAGGAGUGUAGCUCCAGUGUGGACCAGCAGGAGCCAGAGCCCCCCCCACACAUUAAAGAGGAA